CAAAAAAAAUUAAUAAAUAAUUUGUAAAUAAAAUAUCUAUUUUGUAAAAAUAAAGUUUAAAGAAAAAAAUCUUGUAAAAAUGUAAAAAGUCGUGUAUUUUUGUAUAAAACUUGUCUAAGUCACUGGCGCUUUUUAAGUGUAAAACAUAGAAAUAAAACCAAAUAAAAAAAACACAACUAUAAUUGCAAAAAAAUAAGAUCUCAACUAACCUUCCCCCCAAAAUAGUUUAAAAUAGUAAUGUGUAAUAUUUUUGUAAUUCUACUGCUGUAUUUUGAUGUUUUUUUUUUCUAAUUCAUUGUUUCCGUUUUGUGCAACUCUUUAAAAUAGAAUAAAUAACAAACAAAGGCAAAAGAUGUGUGUGUAAAGUGUUUAUACCAAAAAGUUUUUUUCUUCAGAGUUUUUUAAGCAUAUAUGCGUGUCUAGGACCUAAAUUUAUACCUUUCCUAACAUAUUAAUGUGUUGAUAACCAAACAAAAUAAAUAAAUAAAACCAAUACAACUAAAAAUAAAACCCAAAUGAAAAAAGUGAUAAAUAAACAAAAAGGCCAACCACGGCAGCAACUAAGCACAAGAGCAGAAAAUAUGUAACAACAAAAACGUUAUCUUUGGAAUUUAACCCCCGUCAUACCUUUAAUUUGCUUGAAAGCCUGCUUUUGCUUUCAAUCCUUGAAUAAACAAUCAUUUGCUGUAUAUAUCUUAAGGAAAAGUGGCGUUAAAACUAAAGUAAUAUUUAAAGCAAAAAAAAGAAAAAGGAAGAAAUCUUUUUCAUAAAUAAUAAUACAUAAUUGCUUACUUCGUUAAAUUACGCUACUCUUUGGCAAGAACAUGCCAAAACUCCAUUUUAUAUUCUUCUCUUUCACACUUUUUGUUUUUUUUGCUAGUGUAAAUAAAAAAUAAACCUUUUUCUACUUCAACUCUCUUCAUCAAGCUCAGAAACAACAUUAUCAGCGACCCAUAACACAAAAAAAAAGAAAAAUAACAACAAGAAAGGAAAAUUCCGUCCUUUUUUUAUUUUACUUAAAUCUACACAUCAUCAUCAUCAGCAGCAUUUGGCUGCUGUACCCCAAAUCUUUAUUAUAAAAAAAAAAACAAAUU